rnacentral:tRNA from 1 species
GCCCCGGUAGCUCAACGGAUAGAGCAAUUGCCUUCUAAGCAAUAGGCUAGAGGUUCGAGUCCUCUCCGGGGUG